GUCUACGGCCAUACCACCCUGAACGCAUCCGACCUCGUCUGAUCUCGGAAGCUAAGCAGGGUCGGACCUGUUAGCACUUGCAUGGGAGAACCAGGAAGAAAUAUAUA
rnacentral:rRNA from 1 species